UUAAACUCAUCAACCAUUCACGGAAAACAUACAAAAGAAAAAGCUGUACUCACCCUAUUUUCAAAACUUUGUUGCCUCUUAUAUCCGGUAUCCUAACAAGUCACGUUUUUGUUACUGUACUGCUCUUUCUUAAACUUUGUCUCACUGCUGUGUACCAUCUCAGUAUCCUCACCCCCAUUUAUAUCCAUUUUGGUCUAUGAUUUCAAAUUCAAAAUUUAUAGAUCUGUCUUUCGUUCUCAUCUACCGUCAUUUUUAUGGCUGUCUUGGUUUACAUUCUUGAAGAACUAUGAAAGAGAUGGGAGAUCUUUCUGUUGAGGUUAGCGAGGGAAAUCGCUUUGCUGCUCAGGAAGCCAAGGGGAAGGCUGUAGAAGCAAUUCUGAAGGGAACAGUUACAAGAUUUGGGCAUUAAAAAUUGAAAACUCUGAGCAUACCCGCACAACGAGCAGCAUGAGAUGAAUCUUAAUGUCACACCUAGAGGAAGAAGGUUGUUCUACACCACACCUCUCAAGGUUGUUCUACACCACACAUCUGAAGGCAUUGUCGAAUCAGAAAUUCAGCGAGUUUCGAAAAAAUCUGAACUUUAAGCUUUAUGCUCAUUCCUUGAUUGGAGUAGGAGUUGCUUCAAGUUUGUACCAUGCUUCAAGAGGCAGAUUAAGAACAUAUUUAAGAUGGGCUGACUAUGCAACAAUUGCUACUGCUACUGUGGCCACUCGCUUAUGUUAAAUGAGAAUUGAGCUAGACACAACCACACCCGAUCUGAGAUCACGAUUAAGUGUUUUCCUGCUAUCGGCUUGGAGAGAGAUUGUAAAUAAUUAUAUCCUCUGGUGAAACCCUCAAUGUUGAAGCCAGGCAAAUGCUCGGAUGGGAGAAACAGAUUCCAAAGCUUUUUGUGCAGAAAUUAGACAAGGACGGGAUACCAAAAAACAUAAUUGAGUAUGCUUCACAUUUUUCUGAAGUAGUCGCUGAAGGCUUAAUGUGGGAGAAUGAAGAUCACACACGUCAGCUGGCAGACCUUAUAAGGUUGGGUUUUCUCGUGGAAUUCAAUGAGGGACCAUGUAUCUCAUGAAGACGAAGUCUGCAGACUUUUUUGGAGGAUGAAGCAUUCAUUUUUUGCCACCUUUCCUGAUGAAUAGGUACGCUAUCCUAUCUUAACUAGAAGUUAUAUCGUCUCAAAUUAGUCUGCAAUACUGAUCGUUCUUGUGCCCAGUAUUUGAGAUCCUUACAUCUGAUUAGAUAGAUUAUUCACAGUAGUGCAGUUACAUAUAGUCAUUAGGAAUUGCAAAGUCCUCCAGAAAUGCAUUUUUUUUACUACUGUUGAGAGUGAUAUUAAAGACACAAUUUGUACAUCCUGGAUAUAAAAACACAUGCAUAUUCUCUAUGUAUUUCCUACAACAUAGCAUAUGUUAGAUAUGUGAUAACUUGAGCUCAGUAUAUAUAGGUCUCAGUGUCUCUAUAUAACUUAUUACCUCAAUUCUCAGUUGUUAUGAUGUGUGAACAAAUUUUCAGGCUACUAAUCUUCACUUUAGAGGACAAGGAUUUUUCUUGCUAUUAUUUAGGGCCUAUUAGCAAAAGGAAUGAAGGAUGCAAUAAAUGUAUGUUACAGUUAGUUAUUAGUGCUUCCCUCUUAUAUUUAAAUGUUCUUAUUAACUCUGUAGUCUGUAAGCCUUUUAAUUGCAGACAAUAAUUUCUGGCUGUUCGGACGGGGGAUUAGCUUCCAUAUUGCAUUAGAUGAUUUGUUGCAUUAGAUGAUUUGUAAGCCUUUCAUCAUGUCACAGUAUAAGACUAAGGCCUUCAUCUCCUUACUUGCUUCAUUAGUUGUUUGCAUGCUACUGUAAACUAAAUAUUAUUGCUUAUUUUUAUGGUAGGUUCUGUGUUUAACAACUCUCCCCAGUGUAAUGAAGCUCGAUCAAGUGGUUUGUCAAAUAUUUCACCCAAAGCCACUUUAAAACAUCAUUUUCAGGAUAGCAUCAAAUUUGGAAGUAUAUGUUUUCUUCAAUAUUUACUCAAUUUCCAAAUUAUAUAUUUAUGUAAAUACUCUUCCAAAUGUUCUCAACCAUUUUUGGUUUAACUUAUGGAUUUUAGAGACAUCCUGAUUUUUUGAUGUCCAUCCUGGCAAAAAUAGGUCAGCUGUUGAUAAUUUUUUAUCUUAUUUUCUUUAAUUCGAGUUCUCUUUCAAAUCUUGUGAAUUUUCCUACAUUGAUGGGCAGGAAUAGAAGCAUUAGUCCUCCUAGGAUAUUGAGCAGAAGUAGUUUGAGUCCAAAAUCAAGCUUGAUAAAGAACCCGAGCAUGAGCCCUAGAAUAAGCAUGACCCCUGAUAGGAGCAUGAGCAGAAGUGUUAGUGGAAGCCAUCACGUGUCAUUUGUGGAAGCAGGAGUUUUAGCAAAAGUCCUAUUAAAAGUGGAAGUAGUCCUGCUAGAAGUUUAACCAGAAGCCAUGCAAGUCCCUUCUAAUGUUGUAAUUACUUCUUCCUUUUGUUUAUUGUGCAAGUAAGAAUAUGAUGAUGUAUGCGGCCACCUGUUCCAUGCUGGAAGAUUGAAGUGGUAUAGAUUGAGAGAAAGCCAAGGAAUACAAAUUAAGUAUCAAUAGUCUUUGCCUUUUUCUCUGACUCUCUACAGAAACAAUGUACUAACAAUAUACCGAAUUAUAUGCCAGAGUGUUGUUUAAUAUAAGUUGUUAUAUCUU